rnacentral:rRNA from 1 species
CCUACGGGAGGCUGCAGUGAGGAAUAUUGGUCAAUGGUCGGUAGACUGAACCAGCCAAGCCGCGUGAGGGAUGAAGGUACAGAGUAUCGUAAACCUCUUUUGUCAGGGAACAAAGGCGGGGACGUGUCCCCGGAUGAAUGUACCUGAAGAAAAAGCAUCGGCUAACUCCGUGCCAGCAGCCGCGGUAAUACGGAGGAUGCGAGCGUUAUCCGGAUUUAUUGGGUUUAAAGGGUGCGCAGGUGGUCUGUUAAGUCAGCGGUGAAAGGCCGGGGCUCAACCCCGGCACGGCCGUUGAGACUGGCAGUCUUGAGUUGGAGAGAAGUAUGCGGAAUGCGCGGUGUAGCGGUGAAAUGCAUAGAUAUCACGCAGAACUCCGAUUGCGAAGGCAGCAUGCCGGCUCCACACUGACGCUGAGGCACGAAAGCGUGGGUAUCGAACAGGAUUAGAUACCCUUGUAGUC